rnacentral:rRNA from 1 species
GUACACUCCUACGGGAGGCAGCAGUGGGGAAUAUUGCACAAUGGGCGCAAGCCUGAUGCAGCCAUGCCGCGUGUAUGAAGAAGGCCUUCGGGUUGUAAAGUACUUUCAGCGGGGAGGAAGGCAAUACGGUUAAUAACCGUGUUGAUUGACGUUACCCGCAGAAGAAGCACCGGCUAACUCCGUGCCAGCAGCCGCGGUAAUACGGAGGGUGCAAGCGUUAAUCGGAAUUACUGGGCGUAAAGCGCACGCAGGCGGUCUGUCAAGUCGGAUGUGAAAUCCCCGGGCUCAACCUGGGAACUGCAUUCGAAACUGGCAGGCUUGAGUCUUGUAGAGGGGGGUAGAAUUCCAGGUGUAGCGGCGAAAUGCGUAGAGAUCUGGAGGAAUACCGGUGGCGAAGGCGGCCCCCUGGACAAAGACUGACGCUCAGGUGCGAAAGCGUGGGGAGCAAACAGGAUUAGAUACCCCAGUAGUCCCAUG